rnacentral:tRNA from 1 species
GCGCCUGUAGCUCAGCAGGAUAGAGCAACGGAUUUCUAAUCCGUCGGUCGGGGGUUCGAAUCCCUCCAGGCGUACCA